GAUCAUGCUUUAUAUAUAUAGGUUUUUAGAAUUUUGGAAUCGGGAGCUCUGUGCGAUCGCACACUUUGCACUCCCUCAAGGCCGGCCCUGAAUUCAUAUUAAUGUAGAGAAUCAUAUGCAAGACAAAUCCCAAACCUUUUUUCCAUCGUCCAGAUCUUGUCAAAGGCUGGGCAUCCAGCUGCUUUGCCCCUCUCCAUCUGAUGUUGCCCCCUUGGCAGUUCUACCACCAUUGUGAAAGGGCUGGAGCUUUUUGGCGUCAAACUUAGUGAUGCUUCAAAGAAAUUGGGGAAAAAGUUUGCUACCGGAGCCUCUGUUGUUAAGUGUUCAGAGGGUUUCAUGCAUACAAGGAUGAGACGUCGCGUGGAAUCUUUGAUUGAGGCUCUUGAUCGUGCUAAACCUGGCAUGGAAGAUGGAAAGAACGCUGCUCAAAGUAGAUCCUUCAAACGGCUGAGCCUGAAGGAAGCCAGGACCAAUUCAAGCUAAAAAAGGCAUGGUAACCAGAUAGUAAAAGGGACAUGCUCCUACCGGACCUCAAGAAAGUAUGUCGUCAAACGAAUUGCUCGAAGAUAUUAGAGAACCGUUGUUGAACAAAUCGUGCGCUUAUGUCCUUUAUGAACAAAUCGUUGUUUUGUUAAAUUGCAACAUUGGAUGGUCACAUAUAUUAUUAUGCGAUUGAUCAGUACAAACUAUAAUUUUUAUUUAAUUCCAGGUUAAUACAUAAUUGUCUG